UACGUAGGGUGCGAGCGUUAAUCGGAAUUACUGGGCGUAAAGCGUGCGCAGGCGGUUCGCUGUGUCCGAUGUGAAAGCCCCGGGCUUAACCUGGGAAUGGCAUUGGAAACUGGCGGGCUUGAGUGCGGCAGAGGGGGGUGGAAUUCCGCGUGUAGCAGUGAAAUGCGUAGAGAUGCGGAGGAACACCGAUGGCGAAGGCAGCCCCCUGGGUCGACACUGACGCUCAGGCACGAAAGCCAGGGGAGCGAACGGG
rnacentral:rRNA from 1 species